rnacentral:misc_RNA from 1 species
ACGCCUCGAGCGCCACUCCACGCAUCCGCUCAAGCUCACGUGGACGUGCUGGCAGGCGUCACUGGCGCGCUGACGUUACCUGUCACCCGCACAUGGCAGGCACCUAUAUGUAUACGCUGAAAGACAUGGGCACGCGCACACUCGCAUGAAGACGAUGAAUGGAGGUUCUUUGAAGAGGCUGGCAGUGCUCUCGGACAGCAAGCGCCCACCCCCUUCCUCCCUUCUCUCUCCUCCCUCCCAACGCACACGUCGACAAGCACAGCGCACAACCAAGCACACGCGCAUCAAGCAGACGUGAGCUCUUCUCCAUACCUCCCUCCUCUCCGACUACCCAACCUCAACCACCUCCCCCCCCCACCACUCCCACUCCCCCUUCUCGCUCUCUCGUGCCUGACCACUCGCACUCAACGAUGAGCACGAAUACAUGCAUACGUGCAUACACAUGCUCCUCAUACCCUCCUCGCCCUCCGUGCGCUCGCUCGCGCACCAACGCCUCACUAUCCGCUGAGACGGUGCGGUAGCCGCACCGCUUCACGGAACACACACGUACACGUAUAGAACUCGCGUCUACAUCCGUCACCCUCCUUUUCUCAAGACUGCCAGGCUCGCCAUGGGCGGCAGACAAGGUGGUGAUGGUGCAACGGGAGCCAAGUCCGCCGGGCUGCCAGCAGCCGCCGCAGCAUCGGCGAAGGCCGAUGCGUGGAUGGACGCGCUCUGGGAGAUCCACUGCGGCACCCCCCUCGCCGGCGCGGUGCGCUACACCGACGCCAUCGUCAAGACCAUGUGGGAGGUGUUUCAACCGCUCCUCAGUGAGCUGGAUGUAUACCCGCUCGCCAUUGCCGAUGUGCAGCCGGAGACGGUGACGGCGACGACAGCCGCCACGGUGCCCUUCACGGACUUUAUCGUUCUCCGUCUUAUCGAGCCUGCAACGCCUGCCAGACAUGGGCACAGACAACGCGGUGGUGACCAUGGGGACGUUGAGGAGGACCCCCAAAACGAGUUUGGCAACGCCUUGACCGCGGUGAUGCGCACCGCACUACUCGAGCAGCCUUACAUCGUGCUCUCCCUCGUGGAGUUCUUCACCGCAGUGUGGCUGUACCAGUACGAAGCACGGAAGCUAAGCACGUCGCAGAAUGUGCCGCACGGCAAGCGGCGCCAAGGCGACGGUGGUGCACAACGCGCAAGGUCUCCCACAGUAGCAUCAGCGGCAUCGCGGGCACCGGCGCUUCGCCGCGUAUAUGCGGCCGUGAGCGGUGAUGUGCGCCACGCAACGCCGUUCGACCACCUCGGUGCUGCACAGCUCGGGCGCGUGCUGACGAUCAAAGGAACGGUCGUCCGCAUGAGCCCGGCGCGCAUCUCGUGUGUGUGUAUGUCGUACCGCUGCGGUCACUGCGGCGUCGUAAAGAAGCAGACGACCCAAGACGGCGUGCUCACCUACCCGGGCCCGUGCGCGAGCGCGCGCUGCCGCGGCUACAAGUGGACUCCGCUAACGGAUCAGGCGGUAUGCGAGGAGGUGCAGCUGCUUCGGCUGCAAGAGCACACGACCUUCUUUGACGCGUCCUCAUCGCCGGCCUCGCCUAGCGGCGGCAGCGGCGGCAGCGGCGCCACUCAGCAGCACGGCGGUGGUGGCAAUAGAGGCAACGCUGGCGGCAGCGACAGCCAACGCAUGGGCAGUGGUGGCAUGCACGUCAUGAUCGAGGUGGAGCUGCGGGCGCCGUGGCUCGACGCCGUCACGGUGGGCGACUGUGUGUGCGUGUGUGGCGUCUUAGAGACGCGGCGGGGCGAGGGUAAGCAAGGCGGCGGCAUGCAGCAGGUGUGCCUGCGCGCCAGGGCGGUGCGGAGUCUGCGCAGCCAGGAGACCUCUGCCAGCUCGCCCUCCUUGAGCAGCAUCGCAGCUCUGCAGCGCCGCCAACGCGACGGAGCGCUCCUCUCCGCAACUAUAGGUCCAGGUGGUUGCCGCGACGGCCCAUGGCGGCUGGCGCACGGCGGCGGAUUCGCCGUGCUCGCGGAUGGUACCAGCACUGGUGGUGCUCUGCGCGGCGACGGUGAAGGGGAAGCGGACGACGAGCUGAUGCUUGGGGCUGCCGCACAGCUCGGCGGCGUCGGACCCACGGCCAUGGCAGCGGCGGCUGCCGCGUCUGCCAUCACGGCGCUGCCGUCUGGCGCCCGUGUCUCCUUCUCCUCCGGGUUCGACACCUGGUCUGCCGAGGAGAUGGGGCGCUUCUACGAAGUUGCGCGGCACCCGCAGUGGUUUGCGCGACUGACGGCCUCAGUGGCGCCGUCGAUCUUCGGCAUGGAGCUGGUGAAGCAGGCUCUGCUGCUCUCCAUUGUCGGCGGCAACCGUGAUAAGAAUGGCGGUGAGACGCGCAGCAGCAUCCACGUCCUGCUUGUCGGCGAUCCCGGGCUUGGCAAGUCACAGCUGCUUCGUGCGGCCUGCGCUGUAGCGCCGCGCAGUGCGUUUGUGUGCGCGCACACGUCGUCGUCUUGCGGCCUCACCAUGACGCUGACGCGGGACCCCGUAUCGGGCGAGACGACGUUCGAGGCCGGCGCCGUCGUGCACGGCGAUGGCGGCAUCACGUGUCUCGACGAGAUCGACAAGGGCGUGCAGGAGCACAAGGCGCUGUUGGAGGUGAUGGAGCAGGAGACGGUGAGCCUCGCCAAGGCGGGCAUGAUAUUCUCCAUGCCCGUGCGCACCUCCAUCCUGGCUGCCGGCAACCCCAUCGGCGGCCGCUUCGACGCGCGCAAGUCCCUCGCCGCCAACGUGAACCUCUCCCCGGCGCUGCUCACCCGCUUUGACAUCAUCGCGUGCCUGCGCAACCCCCACGGGAACAGCGGCAAGGCGCAGCAGGCGCUGACGGACCACAUCCUCCAGUGGCAUCGCCGUGGCCCCGCGGCUGGGGACGGCGGUGAGGGCGGCAACGGUGACGGGCAGGGCCGCGGACACGGCGCUGGUCCUCUGCCGCUCCCGCUCGUGCAGCGCUUUCUUCUCUUCUGCCGCUCGCAGUGCCAGCCAACGCUCUGUCGUGAGGCGUGCGACGUCCUGCAGGCGCACUACCUCGCGCAGCGUCAGCACCUGCCUGAACCGCAGUACGGGCUCGCGCACGGCGCCACGGCUAGCUGUGCUGGUGGUGCGGCAGGUCAUCUCUCAGAUUCUGGCAGUGUCUCGGGGCCACUUCCCCGAGCUGCCAUGGGGCUUGAGGCUACCGUGACCCCGCGCUACCUGCAGGCUCUCAUUCGCGUCGCCGAGGCGCGAGCGAAGCUGGAGCUGCGCCACGUGGCCACCAGAGAAGAUGCCGAGUACGCGGUGCAGCUGCUGCAGUCGUGUCUGAACUCUUUCGACGGUCUUGCCGCGUCGGGCUCAGCGGCGGAUGUCGGCGCAGGCAGGAGGCCCGCAAAGCUGAACCAACGCGAUGCCGUGCUGCAGCGACUCAAGCUCGCCAUCGUCGAGGACAACAGCGGCGUCAACCUGCUCACGGAGCAGGCAAUCCUGGACGUGUGCGAAUCCGUCGGCUGCCGCAGCGCCGCGGCGAUGCUCCGCCAGCUGAAUGAGCACGGCUUUCUCUUGCAGAAGGGCAACAAUAAGUACUGCCUCCGAGGGUGCUGAGGUUGGGCGAGAAGUUGAAAGCGUGUUGAAGUAGACGGCAGCGCCGGACGCUUACGCCGCUGCAUGCAUAUGUGCUUCUGUGCUACCCCCCCCUCAUUCUCUUCGCUUCAGCUUCUUCGACGGACGCCGACGCCUCACUGGUCCAGAGCGGAGGUGUGCGCAUACUGUUCUGCUCACAUAUCGUGUCACUGCGUUUUCCGUACGUCCCGCCCUCCUCCUGCUUCUGCUUGCUCGUCGCGUGCCGGCGCACGUUUCGACGCACAACGAUCGCCGUUGCGCUCUC